GAUGAACGCUGGCGGCGUGCCUAAUACAUGCAAGUCGAGCGAACGGACGAGAAGCUUGCUUCUCUGAUGUUAGCGGCGGACGGGUGAGUAACACGUGGAUAACCUACCUAUAAGACUGGGAUAACUUCGGGAAACCGGAGCUAAUACCGGAUAAUAUUUUGAACCGCAUGGUUCAAAAGUGAAAGACGGUCUUGCUGUCACUUAUAGAUGGAUCCGCGCUGCAUUAGCUAGUUGGUAAGGUAACGGCUUACCAAGGCAACGAUGCAUAGCCGACCUGAGAGGGUGAUCGGCCACACGGGAACUGAGACACGGUCCAGACUCCUACGGGAGGCAGCAGUAGGGAAUCGUCCGCAAUGGGCGAAAGCCUGACGGAGCAACGCCGCGUGAGUGAUGAAGGUCUUCGGAUCGUAAAACUCUGUUAUUAGGGAAGAACAUAUGUGUAAGGAACUGUGCACAUCUUGACGGUACCUAAUCAGAAAGCCACGGCUAACUACGUG
rnacentral:rRNA from 1 species